UUCAGUUCUAUUCCACUGAUCUGCCUGUCC
rnacentral:piRNA from 1 species